rnacentral:rRNA from 1 species
UACGGAGGGAGCUAGCGUUGUUCGGAAUUACUGGGCGUAAAGCGCACGUAGGCGGCUUUGUAAGUUAGAGGCGAAAGCCCGGGGCUCAACUCCGGAACUGCCUUUAAGACUGCAUCGCUUGAAUCCAGGAGAGGUGAGUGGAAUUCCGAGUGUAGAGGUGAAAUUCGUAGAUAUUCGGAAGAACACCCGUGGCGAAGGCGGUUCUCUGGGACGGUACUGACGCUGAGACGCGAAAGCGUGGGGAGCGAACAGG